rnacentral:rRNA from 1 species
UACGUAGGGUCCGAGCGUUGUCCGGAAUUAUUGGGCGUAAAGGGCUCGUAGGCGGUUUGUCGCGUCGGGAGUGAAAACACGGGGCUUAACCCCGUGCCUGCUUCCGAUACGGGCAGACUAGAGGUAUGCAGGGGAGAACGGAAUUCCUGGUGUAGCGGUGAAAUGCGCAGAUAUCAGGAGGAACACCAGUGGCGAAGGCGGCGAUCUGGGAAGAUACUGACGCUGAGGUGCGAAAGCGUGGGGAGCAAACAGG